GGCGGCUACUGCUAUCAGGUUUCGACUAAGCCAUGCGAGUCAAGGGGUCGUAAGACACCGGCGUACUGCUCAGUAACACGCGGACAAUCUACCCCCAGGUGGGGGAUAACCUCGGGAAACUGAGGCUAAUACCCCAUAGUUGUCAUGUGCUGGAAUGCUUUGACGAUGAAAGAAUUUCGCCUGAGGAUGAGUCUGCGGCCUAUCAGGUAGUAUGUGGUGUAAAGGACCACAUAGCCUAAGACGGGUACGGGCCUUGAAAGAGGGAGCCCGGAGAUGGACUCUGAGACACUAGUCCAGGCCCUACGGGGCGCAGCAGGCGCGAAAACUGUGCAAUGCGCGCAAGCGCGACACGGGAAGCCUGAGUGCCUUAACUAUGUUAAGGCUUUUCUUGAUCCUAAAAAGCUCAAGGAAUAAGAGCUGGGUAAGACGGGUGCCAGCCGCCGCGGUAACACCCGCGGCUCGAGUGGUAGUCACUUUUAUUGAGCCUAAAGCGUUUGUAGCCGGAUUUGUAAAUCUCUAGGAAAAUACUUCUGCUUAACUGAAGAAAUUUUGGAGAGACUGCAAAUCUAGGGACCGGGUGAGGUUGAAUGUACUUCUGGGGUAGGGGUAAAAUCCUGUAAUCCUGGAAGGACGACCGGUGGCGAAGGCGUUCAACUAGAACGGAUCCGACGGUGAGGAACGGAGGCUAGGGGAGCAAACCGGAUUAGAUACCCGGGUAGUCCUAGCUGUAAACACUGCCCACUUGGUGUUGCAUCUCCGGUAAGGGGGUGCAGUGCCGUAGCGAAGGUGUUAAGUGGGCCGCUUGGGGAGUAUGGUCGCAAGGCUGAAACUUAAAGGAAUUGGCGGGGGAGCACCGCAACGGGAGGAGCGUGCGGUUUAAUUGGAUUCAACGCCGGAAAACUCACCGGAGGCGACCUGUGUAUGAGAGUCAACCUGAUGAAUUUACUCGAUAGCAGGAGAGGUGGUGCAUGGCCGUCGUCAGCUCGUACCGUAGGGCGUUCACUUAAGUGUGAUAACGAGCGAGACCCCCAUCUUCAAUUGCUAAGCUAACCGUGAGGUUGGUAGAACUUUGAAGGGACCGCCAGUGCAGAACUGGAGGAAGGAGGGG
rnacentral:rRNA from 1 species